UACGUAGGGUGCAAGCGUUAAUCGGAAUUACUGGGCGUAAAGCGUGCGCAGGCGGUUUUGUAAGUCUGUCGUGAAAUCCCCGGGCUUAACCUGGGAAUGGCGAUGGAGACUGCAAGGCUGGAGUUUGGCAGAGGGGGGUAGAAUUCCACGUGUAGCAGUGAAAUGCGUAGAGAUCCGGAGGAACCCCAGAGGCGAAGGCGGCGCCCUGGCCCGACACUGACGCUCAGGCACGAAAGCGUGGGGGAGCAAACGA
rnacentral:rRNA from 1 species